rnacentral:rRNA from 1 species
AUGAGCCCAAAGGAGCAUGAUAUAUUGAAGGAGAAAGUGGAGGAAUUGCUGCAAAAGGGGCACAUUCAAGAAAGUAUUAGCCCAUGUGAUGUACCAGCCCUGCUCGCUCCUAAGAAAGAUGGAUCUUGGCGCAUGUGUACGGACAGUAGAGCCAUUAACAAGAUCACCGUAAGGUAUAGAUUCCCUAUUCCCCAUCUGGAUGAUAUGUUGGAUCAGCUUAGUGGAGCAAGAGUGGUCACAAAUCUAGAUUUGAGAAGUGGAUAUCAUCAAAUCCGUAUAAGACCCGGGGAUGAAUGGAAAACCGCCUUCAAGACAAAGGAAGGGUUGUUUGAAUGGCUAGUCAUGCCAUUUGGACUCUCAAAUGCACCGAGUACCUUUAUGCACUUAAUGAAUCAAUGCAAGUCCUUUGACCCUUCUGAUGACCCACAAGUAUAG